AACUGAUACUACCUGCGGGAACCUGCGGAAGGAUCAUUACCGAGUGCGGGCCCUCUGGGUCCAACCUCCCAUCCGUGUCUCUUGUACCCUGUUGCUUCGGCGGGCCCGCCUUCAUGGCCGCCGGGGGGCUUCUGCCCCCGGGCCCGCGCCCGCCGGAGACUCCAACAUUGAACACUGUCUGAAGGUUGCAGUCUGAGUUUUCAUAUAAGAAAAAUCGUUAAAACUUUCAACAACGGAUCU
rnacentral:misc_RNA from 1 species